AACCCAUGAUUAGGACAUUUCCUAAGCAAAGACUGAAAACGUUCCCAGGCUUCAUAGAAUGAUUCAUCCUGACCUUGUCUGAAAGUGGAGAUAUUAGAUUUUGCACU